rnacentral:tRNA from 1 species
GGCACAGCGGUAAUGCAUUCCUAAACCGUUGGUCGCAAGUUCGAUUCUUGCCUGGG